rnacentral:lncRNA from 1 species
AGAGAUAUUUAGUUGUUAUUUUAUACCGGCACAAUAAUAUAUUGAAAAAUAUCUUCUUUUUUUUCAAAUUGAACUUUAGUAUCUGUUCUAAACAAAUUACAGACAAUUUUUUCAUCUGUGUACUUGGCAACAAUGUUUGCGCAGGUGUUAUCAAACAUGGAGAGGAGAGAACGUUCUGCAGCACUGUCAGUAACCCUGCACAUAGCACUUUUGCGCCUUAUCGAGCAAAGGCCAGUCGUCGAGGACAGGUCUACUAGUACUGUAACACAAUAAAUGACAGCAAAAGAAAGGCCUAGGAUGAAAUUACUGCCUCAUUAAACGCCAGCAACCAAGAUCAACUCCCUCUCACAGCCAAGCACCUCAAGAGGAGCUCCAACAUAAAAAGGAAACUAAAACCAGAGAUAUAGGAGAGCGGGUGGUGGUCCUCCAGAAAAACUAUCACUAGCUUCAGAAGAAAUCGCCACCCAGUGCUCGUGUCAUGCGGAAGACUUCUGCAAGUGUACCUGAACUUCCUCACUCCCAUGAUCCUCUUGUUUUGCCUGUUCCAACACCAGGGCUAUCAACUGUGUCUUCUGCACCAUCUACUUCUGUUUUUCGACUUCUAAUUUCACCCUCUGUUCCUGCCUCACCAGUCAUUGUGAGAAAAGACAAGGGGAGUUCCACAAAUAUAAAUUGUACACAAUGAAAAGAGAGCAUGAGGAGGAACUGAAAGUGAAGGCCAUAAUAUCAGCACAUACACUCAAAGAAAGAUAAAGUGAAACUGUAAUUAGAGUGAUUGAAAAGACGCUUGAAAAAAUUAAUAAAUCUUUUGAAUUGUUAGAUACAUGUUUAAGGAAAGCAUCAACUGCAUAUGAUGCCAUGGCUAAAACUUAUGAAUGAUGGUUGAGUAAUAACAUACAGUCAUAUGCAAUGUUUAUGAUUUUACUCUAUACAGGGGUACUGUGAUAUAUCGUAAAGUGGCAUCUAGAUUAUAAAUUUAUUUUCUUAUGUCUUACACCUUAAAAUAAUUUUAUUUAAAGGAAAUAAAUCUACAUUUCUUUAU